rnacentral:rRNA from 1 species
AUUGAACGCUGGCGGCAUGCCUUACACAUGCAAGUCGAACGAUGAGAAAGAGCUUGCUCUUUCGAUUAGUGGCGGACGGGUGCGUAACGCGUAGGAAUCUACCUAUUAGUGGGGGACAACUUAGGGAAACUUAAGCUAAUACCGCAUACGCCCUACGGGGGAAAGAAGGGGAUCGCAAGACCUUUUGCUAAUAGAUGAGCCUGCGUAGGAUUAGCUAGUUGGUGGGGUAAAAGCUCACCAAGGCGACGAUCCUUAACUGGUUUGAGAGAAUGAUCAGUCACACUGGAACUGAGACACGGUCCAGACUCCUACGGGAGGCAGCAGUGGGGAAUAUUGGACAAUGGGCGAAAGCCUGAUCCAGCAAUACCGCGUGUGUGAAGAAGGCCUUAGGGUUGUAAAGCACUUUCAAUUGGAAGGAAAACCUCGAAGCUAAUACCUUCGAGUUUGACAUUACCUUUAGAAGAAGCACCGGCUAACUCCGUGCCAGCAGCCGCAGUAA